CACAAUCAGUUUCUCUCCUUUUCCCAGUCAGUGGUUUUGAGGAAGAGUUUUUCUUGUGCAAUCUCCUGCAUGCUGCCUUCUGUCUUUGUCUCUCUCCCUUUCUCCCUCUUUCCUCUUUCCCUGAUCAGCCUCCCCACCCCGCAGCACCCUCAAUUCUUUUCUCUCCCUCAAAUCAACUCUCUGUAGUAUCUCCCUCCAUGAUGUAGCCACUUUUCUCCCUCUAGGUGUGCAACUUGUUCUUUCAGUCCUCAUAUUAAUUUCUUGGGUGUUCAGGAUGAUUUGAUAUUUAUCUAGCUGUGUUCAAGGGACAAGGAAAGCAUAGGGUCCCUCUACUAUUCUGCCAUCUUAACUCCUCCUCGACUAUCUUCUGUAAACAGUGAGCUAUGAUAGGUGUUAUGGGAAAUAUGAGAGAAUUCCUGUCCAGUAGAACUUUCUGCAAUGAUGAAAAUAUUCUAAACGUGUUAUUAAAAAUCAUGGAGACAAAAUAUAAUGUGAAGACAGAAUGUGGGAUAAAGAGGAAUAAUAGCUUUAUUGCUUUGCGGGCAAAGGAGGGUGUAGUGGGCUAAGGCCUUCAGAAACUGCAAGCCUGCCGGGAGGAAAGGGGUGGGAGGUUUUGUAAGGAAAUACAGGAUCUACGGGCCCCCGGGUGGCUCAGUUGGUUGAGCAUCCAACGUCAGCUCAGGUCAUGAUCUCACUCACAGUUCGUGAGUUCAAGGCCCCUGUCAGGUUCUGUGCUGACAGCUCAGAGCCUGGAGCCUGCUUUGGAUUCUGUGUCUCCCUCUCUCUCUGCUCCUCCCCCACUCACACUCUCUCUCUCAAAAAUGAAUAAACAUUUAAAAACUUUUUAAAGAUAAGGAAAUACAGGAUUUAGCCAGUUUUGACAGGAAUUGUGUAGGCACUGCCAGCUUUGUUCAUCAUGUCUUUAGGGUGGUACCGGGUUCCGGAAACAAAAGGCUAAGAAGGGAGGAGGGGAGGUUUGCAGAAGAGAGGAAAAAGAUUACUUUAAAAUCGAGUUUGGCUAAAGUAUUAGUGCAGCCAUUUUGAUUUUGGUUCAACUUUAUGCUUUUAAGCAUUUUCAAAGGUUCAGUUUCAUUUUUGAGAGACAGAGCACGAGCAGGGGAGGAGCAGCGAGAGAGAGAGAGAGAGAGAGAGAGAGAGAGAGAGAAUCCAAAGCAGGAUCCAGGUUCAGAGCUGUCAGCACAGAGCCCGAUGCGGGGCUUGAACCCACAAACUGGGAGAUCAUGACCUGAGCUAAAGUCGGACACUCAACCGACUGAGCCACCCAGGCACCCCGGUUUCCAAUAUAAUAGCAACUAACCACAUGUAGGCAAUGAACAUUUGAAAUCCAGGCAAUAAAACCGAGGAAAUAAAUUUUUAAUUUUACCUAUGGUUAACUUAUUUUAAUUUAAUGUUAAUUUUUAAAAAAAACCUAAAUAUUUGAACUUUAAUAGCUACUGGCUUGGGCAGUGCAGCUCUGACACCAAAGUAGCUACUCCUAUUUUGCAGGAAUUUAGACUCCAAAGGGAUGAUGUCAUAGAGUGGGUAGCCAACAGGAGGCGAGCUUGAGAACAAUUACAAACUAUUGCAUAAAAUUCAAAAUUAUAGAAAAUACAUCUAAACAUUGAGAUCAUCUAAUGAAGUGAUCUGUGUGGGAUGAGGUUAAUGGAAAGAAAGCAUUCAGAGAAAAUAGGAUUUCAGGAACUGUUAUGGUGGAGAAAGGAAGAGCAGAGGCAAGUGAAAGAAAAAGGACCAUUUGGAGGAAUAGAAAACCUGUGUGUUGGAAUGUCUAAUGGAGAGCCAAAGCAAUCUCGCCAUUGUGGAGUCCAGAGCACCCAGGAUGACUUCUGAAUCUCUUUUGCUGCCCUAGUUUCCCUAAAAGAUUCCUUGGCAAACCAUGUGAAUGAAAGCAUGAUCAUUAGAAAAAGGGCAUUUUAAAUCUCUGGUCUUUUUCAAAUUAAAAACAUACAAGGGACACCUGGCUGGUUUAGUCGGUUGAGCAUCCAACUUUGGCUCAGCUCAUGAUCUCACAGUUUGUGAGUUCAAGCCUCACAUCGGGCUCGCUGCUGUCCAUGUAGAGCCUUCUUCGAAUCAUCUACUGAGCCUCUCUCUGCCCUCCGUCUCUAUCUGCCCCUUAACCCCCCCCCCCUCAGAAAUUAAUAAACAUUAAAAAAAAUAAAAAUAAAACAUACAAAACACUUUUCUUUAGCCAUAUAGUUAAAUUUGAUUAUUCAGGGACAUAGGGAUAAAAAUUGGGAUAACCAAACCAAGAAAUAGGGAAAAGAAUAGAGGAAACAAUGGCAAAGUUCAUUUUUAAAAAUCAGAGUAAAAUUGAAAGAAUUAAAAUCAAGUAUGCCCGUUUUUACACUAAUUAUGAAUGGAUUGAUUCCCCAUUAAAGUCAGACACUGAAUGAGCUUAAAAAAAAUAGACUGCCUUUAGGGCACGUGGGUGGCUCAGUGGGUUAAGCGUCUGACUUCGGCUCAGGUCAUGAUCUCACAGUCUGUGAGUUCGAGCCCCCAGUCGGGCUCUGUGCUGACAACUCAGAGCCUGGAGCCUGCUUCAGAUUCUGUGUCUCCCUCUCUCUCUGACCGUCCCCUGCUCACACUCUGUCUGUCUUUGUCUCAAAAAUAAGUAAAAAAAAAAAAAUAAUAAUAAUAAUAAUAAAAGACAAGAAAAAAAGAGACUGUGCUUAAUGCUAUUUACAAGAAACACUUGACACACGAUGAUAAAAAGAAAAUAGGAUAGUAACUGAAAUCUGUAAAUUAUCUCAAAAUCCACAUUUGUUCAUGAUUUUAACUGCUUUCUUCCAUCAGUCUUCUUGCCUCAAUUGAAGAUAGAAAAGUCAAAUUGGCAGCUUGAAGUAUCCUCAGUAUUUAUGGACAACACAAUUCUCCGACAGAAAUAUAAGUAACGAAUUUAUCUUAAAGCAAGUUGUAUCUGUCAGGGUCCAGUCAGGAAAACAGAAAUUGCAACAACAGAGACAAGUAAUUAUGAGAAACUGGGUACACAAGUGUUAGAGACACCGUGAGGUGACACAAAGACAGCAAGUGCAGGAAACAGCCACAACUCCCUCAUUUGGGGGGAACAAAAGGAAAGUUGAGUCUGCCAGAAUCUAGAAGUCAGUACCCUAACUUGCCAUACCUGAAGCCUAGAGACUCUUGAACGAUUGCCAUGUUAUGUCAGCAAGGAGAUACAUAGUAGGCAUGCUACUACAGGAAACUUCCCUUUGUUUCUUACUGCAGGCCUCUCCUUAACCCUGUUUCCUGGUGAAGACGAUACUCCAUAUGGAAGUACAGGGUCUCCUUUUUCUAAAGAAGGUAACUCUAAGUCCUACAACCCUACUAGUUGGCCAAAUGGCCUCCUUGACACCAUUAUGUUAGGACAACACCAGAAGUUUAGGGGUGGCAAAUAGGAUCAUGCCAGUGGCAAAACAAACAAACAAGCUAACCCAAGGAAGAAAAGAAAAAACAAAGGGUGGACUUGGGCUUCUUCUAUAGCCUAGAGCAGAGUUGAUCUUGAUCAUUGUAGAAAUCAGCAAUUACAACCUUCUAAGACAUGGUAUAUUCUCCCAGGAGAAGACACUUCUUCUGAAUUCCAGAUAAUAGAAAACAGCUUCUAUCAAUGCAAAUUAAGAAGGGAAGAUGUCACUUUAUAGAAGGAUGAAAACUUCUACUCAAGUCAUUUUUUGACCCUCCAGUCGAAAGAGCUUCACUAGAAACGGGGCUUCUCUAAUUACUGAGAGAACAUCUGGAAAGAUAAUUCAAAACCGGAGCUGUCAAAAUAUAACUGCUGAUGUGUGCAUCA